CAGCCGCCGCGGGAACACGGAGGGAGCUAGCGUUGUUCGGAAUUACUGGGCGUAAAGCGCACGUAGGCGGCUUUGUAAGUUAGAGGUGAAAGCCUGGAGCUCAACUCCAGAACUGCCUUUAAGACUGCAUCGCUUGAAUCCAGGAGAGGUGAGUGGAAUUCCGAGUGUAGAGGUGAAAUUCGUAGAUAUUCGGAGGAACACCAGUGGCGAAGGCGGCUCACUGGACUGGUAUUGACGCUGAGGUGCGAAAGCGUGGGGAGCAAACAGGAUUAGAUACCCGGGUAGUCCCUGUCUCUUAUAC
rnacentral:rRNA from 1 species